UACGAAGGGGCUAGCGUUGCUCGGAAUCACUGGGCGUAAAGCGCACGUAGGCGGAUUGUUAAGUCAGGGGUGAAAUCCUGGAGCUCAACUCCAGAACUGCCCUUGAUACUGGCGGCCUUGAGUCCGGGAGAGGUGAGUGGAACUGCGAGUGUAGAGGUGAAAUUCGUAGAUAUUCGCAAGAACACCAGUGGCGAAGGCGGCUCACUGGCCCGGUACUGACGCUGAGGUGCGAAAGCUAGGGGAGCGAACG
rnacentral:rRNA from 1 species